rnacentral:rRNA from 1 species
AACGUAGGAGGCAAGCGUUGUCCGGAUUCAUUGGGCGUAAAGAGCGUGUAGGCGGCCAGGUAGGUCGGUUGUGAAAACUGGAGGCUCAACCUUCAGAGGUCGACCGAAACCAUCUGGCUAGAGUCCGGGAGAGGAGAGUGGAAUUCCUGGUGUAGCGGUGAAAUGCGCAGAUAUCAGGAAGAACACCCGUGGCGAAAGCGGCUCUCUGGAACGGUACUGACGCUGAGACGCGAAAGCGUGGGGAGCGAACAGG